AAUCUGUUUGAACCAAUCCUUAGAUGUUCCUUUAAGACUAACUCCAAUCUUUGGAGUAAAAUGUCAAUUUUAGGUUCUAAACUCGUCCCAACUUGCUCAAACUCUUGGGGCAAAUAUGAGUUUUAACCAAAAACUUAUUUAUGUGACAAUUUAGGCCAGGAUUUCUUCCUGGGUUAGUAGGCUGGCCCACUAUAUAGGUGUAUUUUUUAUUUUUUAUUUAUAAAGUCAUUAAAUCCAAUGUCUAAGAUCUAAUAUGUAGAAAGGACCUUACGGUCCAAACUUAAAUCCAACGACUAAAGUAAUUUAAAAUUUUAUUUCAGGUGUUUCAUAUUUUUUUUCAUAGUGUUCUACGAGUUUCAUGGUGUUGAUUUAAUGAUUUUUCAAUAUUUAUUGGAAUCUAAAUAUUUUUAGGUCAAACUGUUCAUAAAAUUAAAUUAUGAUAGUCUACAUAAUUUUUUUUUUUAAAAGAUACUUUAAGAAAAAAAAAAUUAUUCUAAAUUCAUUCUUUAAUAAUCUCGAGCUAAAAAUUUAACACAUAAGGGUUGGAGCAGAAAAAUUGUUUAUGGGUUAAAAAUUUUAGUAAGCGUUGGAGAUGGUCUAAGGGUGGUUAGGAAUAGCCUACAUUUGGUAUCGUUGUUUUUCCCUCGGCCCUCAACAACAUAAAUGAACCCGUCUAGGUGGUCGUACAUAUCAAUAAUUCCCUCGUAACAUUGCAUUUUGAGUACUCAAGUAUCUCCACUCGUCGACUCAUCAAGCAGUUCCUUGGAGUGUGCCAAGGGAACUACUUCUUCGUAGUAGUCUGGAUUCUUAGUCUUGGACGCUUGGUGUAUGUCUCCCAUUCUGUCCUACACAUUCUUCAUCUCCUCACUCAUGACUUUUCUCAGGGUGCUUCUUAAGCUAGGGCGGUCGGGCGGAGUUUCGGUCGAGCCCUUUGUCGUCUAUUUAGCGGCUUGCGCCCUUCUUCCCCCAGCAUUCUCUUUUGCUCGAAGCCUUUUAUUGAUGACCUUAUGGGCAUCCUCACCGCCUCUAUCGACGUCACCCGAAGAAGGAGGAUGAGGAAGAGGAUUAGCCCCCACUUGGGAUGCGCUGUCGAUUUUCUCAUUGGUCUAUUUAAUCUAUUCUAAGAGAUUAUCAUGCUUAUCUUGGAGCAGGGUGUUCUAGGCAUGGAUGACAUUUCUUACCUCAGUCAUCUCACCAACAAGCAAAUAUGUCGUUCAUCUUCUCUUCCAGGCUGGCGAGCUUGGCCUUCUUUUCUCAUCUUCUUCUUCGAAGGGUCAUCUCGGUCUUCUUGAAAAGGCCUUAUCUCUCAUUCUUAUGCUAGUCACCCCUCUCGUUUGAGCAUGACCAUAGAAAGGGCCUAAGACAAUUGGGUAGAAAACAGAACCAAAUUAUAUGUGAUUCCCAUAGACAGUGCCAAACUAUUAAAGCUCAAAAUUUGCAGGUUAACAAAUUAAAAUACUAAAUCCUUGGUGGGCUUGGGAUAUAGACUAAAACGUAAUGGGCUAAAAGAUUUAAGUGGUCACCACUUAGUACUACAGUCUAGUGGUAUUCCUCUUCACUUGUAAGGAAGAGGCCUUAGGUUUGAUGCUUGCAAAAAACAAAUUUGAACCGCAUUAUUACUAGCCCAUUGUGAGGCUUAACCCACUACUCUACCCUUUUAGUGACGAUAAUAUCGUUUGUUAAAAAAAAAAAAAGAUUUAGGUGAGUUGCCCCUUUGUUUUGGAUGGAAUUUUCGUUCUCCCCUUUGUAUCACAUACAUAACUUCCACCUUACUGAUUGACCUAGCAAAAGUUAAAGCUUGCCUUGUCCCAUGUAUUCAAUUUAUUGUUUAAAAAAAGGGAAAUUUUGUAAUUAGUAAUAGGAUUAUUAUUUGGGAGCAUUGGCUCCCAUUUUUAAAAAACAUAAUUGGCAGCUUGGACUAAUGUGUGCUGCUCAUUGUAACACCAAUUCGUACGUUGUACGGAAAUACAACAUUAGAACCCUUUGUAUUUAAUUAGUGGCUGCAUGGCGGCUAUAUAUUUUGGACACCAAAAGAAGCCUCUAAUAAGAUCAAUAGACAGUUAUGAAAACGGUGUCAGUAGACCUAUAUGUUGGAUUUAUUCAACAUAAAUCAACCAUAAAUGGUCUACAAUGUGUAAUAGGAAUGUAUAAGUUGGAAAUCAGUAAAGUUGCGAUUUGAUUCUUGUAUAUCAACCCUACAUUAAGUGCCUUACAUUAUAAGUAGGUUUUGAUUGAAUCCUUAAUAAUAUAUGAUUAUGAUACUUUACUUAAGAGCCAAGAAAGGAGAGUUUUAGUUUUCCCUUAUGGACGGAAUCUAAGGCUUUUUGGCUAGUAUAUAAACACUGGUCCCUACUAACCCUAGACACAACAAGAAGGCUUCCCAUAAAGCGUUGUCAUCAAGUUAGGAGUUUGCAAAAGAGUUGGUGUGUAUUGAAAUUUGAAGGUGUAUAUUUUAUUAUGAAGAAACAAAGUACAAAGAUAGCUCAUAUAUAUGAGCGUGG
rnacentral:lncRNA from 1 species